rnacentral:sRNA from 1 species
CUCACGGUCAAAGAAUCUUAGUCACGGGCAGAGUUUUUCAAUUGUGGGCAAGUUUUCUCUCGGUUAAAGGCAAUUUUUAUGAGUCGGGCAGCCUUUCGGUUCUAUCUCCUUUCUCUCAUCAAAUGGCUCGAGUUUGGUCAAGUAUUUAUAAAUGGGACAGCUUGGCCACCAAGCAAACGCAUGUCAUCUCGUGGUGACACCUUGCGGGACACAUGUCGCCCGCCCGUGGAGACACAUAUGCUGUAGAAAUGGGACGAUGACACGUGGAAAAGGAAACUUCGGCUCCAAUCCUCUUAAAUUUGGCUUCAAGCAACUUUGAUUGGGCUCCAAGUAAGCCAGCCCACGUGUCCAUGGCGUGGUCAAAGGGCGGUCAACGCCCGUCUGGGCAAACUUUGCCCGCGGCACGCCCGUAUUGCCCAAUCUUGCCCAUUCUUGCCCAUCUUUGCCCAUUUUUGCCCAAAUAGUAAU